rnacentral:rRNA from 1 species
UAAUACAUGCAAGUCGAGCGGACCGACGGGAGCUUGCUCCCUUAGGUCAGCGGCGGACGGGUGAGUAACACGUGGGUAACCUGCCUGUAAGACUGGGAUAACUCCGGGAAACCGGGGCUAAUACCGGAUGCUUGAUUGAACCGCAUGGUUCAAUCAUAAAAGGUGGCUUUCAGCUACCACUUACAGAUGGACCCGCGGCGCAUUAGCUAGUUGGUGAGGUAACGGCUCACCAAGGCGACGAUGCGUAGCCGACCUGAGAGGGUGAUCGGCCACACUGGGACUGAGACACGGCCCAGACUCCUACGGGAGGCAGCAGUAGGGAAUCUUCCGCAAUGGACGAAAGUCUGACGGAGCAACGCCGCGUGAGUGAUGAAGGUUUUCGGAUCGUAAAACUCUGUUGUUAGGGAAGAACAAGUACCGUUCGAAUAGGGCGGCACCUUGACGGUACCUAACCAGAAAGCCACGGCUAACUACGUGCCAGCAGCCGCGGUAAUACGUAGGUGGCAAGCGUUGUCCGGAAUUAUUGGGCGUAAAGCGCGCGCAGGCGGUUUCUUAAGUCUGAUGUGAAAGCCCCCGGCUCAACCGGGGAGGGUCAUUGGAAACUGGGGAACUUGAGUGCAGAAGAGGAGAGUGGAAUUCCACGUGUAGCGGUGAAAUGCGUAGAGAUGUGGAGGAACACCAGUGGCGAAGGCGACUC